rnacentral:misc_RNA from 1 species
UUGCCCAGCUCAUGUCCACGCCCCACGUCCACCCACUGCAAGAGGAAUGGCUUACCUUCACUCCGUGUGUCUCAAUCGAGGGGGAGUCACCAACGAACGACCCACAAUUGGAGUUUGAGCAGGACUAGAGAGGAGACGUCAGUUCUUCCUCCUCCGCUCAUACAUUGGAGGGGAAAUACCAGAAGCUUGGAGCUCUGCCCCGACUUUCUUGAUCGGCUUGCCAACUGGCUUGUAUUCAUCACCGAAAACCAUUUCUUGUCUUGA